GACGAACGCUGGCGGCGCGCUUAAUACAUGCAAGUCGAGCGAGAACCAGAGCUUCGGCUCUGGGGACAGCGGCGAACGGGUGAGUAACACGUGAGUAAUCUGCCCUCGGCACCGGGAUAGCCCGGGGAAACCCGGAUUAAUACCGGAUGGCCUCUCGAGCUUUCGGGCUCGUGAGAAAAGGGAGCUUCGGCCUCCGGCCGAGGAGGCGCCCGCGGGGGAUGAGCUUGUGGGUGGGGUAACGGCUCACCAAGGCGACGAUCCGUAGCUGGUCUGAGAGGACGAUCAGCCACACUGGGACUGAGACACGGCCCAGACUCCUACGGGAGGCAGCAGUAGGGAAUCUUGCGCAAUGGGCGAAAGCCUGACGCAGCGACGCCGCGUGCGGGAAGAAGGCCUUCGGGUUGUAAACCGCUUUCAGGAGGGACGAAGCCACUCGGGUUAAUAGCCCAGAGGGUGACGGUACCUCCAGAAGAAGCCCCGGCUAACUACGUGCCAGCAGCCGCGGUAAUAC
rnacentral:rRNA from 1 species